GGCUGGUCCAAAAGUAGUGAAUUAUCUCAAUUGAUUUUUCAUAGCCAGUUACAGAUUGAGCUCCUGCUCUAAACCUUCCCCGCUUCUCACUGCUGCACUUGAUCAAAGA
rnacentral:Y_RNA from 1 species